CGGCCGGCGCACGGGUGAGUAACGCGUAUCCAACCUGCCCACCACUUGGGGAUAACCUUGCGAAAGUAAGACUAAUACCCAAUGAUAUCUCUAGAAGACAUCUGAAAGAGAUUAAAGAUUUAUCGGUGAUGGAUGGGGAUGCGUCUGAUUAGCUUGUUGGCGGGGUAACGGCCCACCAAGGCAACGAUCAGUAGGGGUUCUGAGAGGAAGGUCCCCCACAUUGGAACUGAGACACGGUCCAA
rnacentral:rRNA from 1 species